rnacentral:lncRNA from 1 species
UUGUCAAACUGGAAAUGUGAAAGUCAAUUGCAAUUUGUCGUCACUUAGUAUAAAAUUUUUUCCCAACUAAUACUUUUGAGUUGCUAUUGUUAAACACUUCAAUUGCUGUUGUUAUGAUUGCGAGUCAAUUAUUCUGUUGGGAACAAUUAUUAGUUUUGUGUGAGGCGUAUUGUUGAUGAUUUUGAGAUGAGUGUAUGUGAGACAUGUUAUUGUCGAUAUAUAAUCCACUGGUUGAGUUGGGAGAUGGCAUGAGAGAUACUCUUGAAUCAGAUUGAUUUAUUUAAAAAAAGUGGAUAUUGUUGACUGGUGGAGCUCUUUCUUUGACCUUAUUUUCUUUGCAAAGUGUUCAUUUUGACGAGGAUUACUUUGAACAUAUAGAUGUAUUGCUACUACUGUAUUCCCUCUUAAUUUAAUAUUUGUGAAAAUUAGCUUCCACAGAUAUUUAUUAACAAAUUUGUUUCUCAUGUUCACAUUUCAUUUUAAUUUUUUUUAAUUAAUUGAUUUACUUGGAUUUACGAAUAGCAUUUGUACCAUCUUGGUACCUUUUUUACUUAAUAAAGUUUUACCUUAUCAAGAAAUAACUUGGAUUUACUAAUCGAUAAUAUUGACCUCAUAAAGUUGGGCUAUCACGUGAAACGGGAUUGAGGCUGUAUGUUCUGCUGUCGACCUGUAUCAGAGAUCCUCCAAUGGAUAGUGUGGGGUUCAUGAUACUCAAAGGAAAAUGUAAAUUGAUGCAUUACAGAAAAAAGGUUCACAUAGUUUCGCUCCUACUUCUAGGACACCUGUCAUUGGGCAGGCGCUCUUUACAUAUUAUUGUUGGUUUCUAUUGGCUCAUUUUUUUUACCUAUCGGAAAAAGGUUUUAUUGUAUAUUACUUAUUUGUUUCAUUUUUUCUUCCUAUCUAUUUUCAGAUGAAACAUUUCAUAGUGUCAACAGUGACCUGAGGGAGUUGCCCCCGGGCAUGCUUGACACCAACAUAGACACUCGUCACCAUACCUAUACGUCGUACUCAACAAAUAUCACAUUGCAAAUAUGACUCGACUCCUAAUCCCUCAAGCUAAGGUUAGACCAAGCACUGACCUCGAACUUCCACGUCCAACUCAAGCCUAAACACCGCUUUUCCUUUUGAAUUUGGCUUCAAAUCAAUUAUAUCUAAACAUAAUCGACUUAAUAACAUCAAUAAACGCUAGACAAUUCAAUUCCAAUGCUUAAUUAUAGAUUUCCUAUCAUUCUUCCCAAAAAGUCAAAAAUCAACUCCGGACCUACUUGGUUAAAAGACGAGGCUCGGAUCAAAACCCGAUCACUCAUUCACCCACGAGCCCGAAUAUGUAUUUAGUUUCGAAAUCCGACCCCAAAAUUAGGUCUAAAUUCCAUUUAUACAAAAAGCCCAAACUCUAUCCAAUUUUCUACCCUUAAGAACAUGAUUUAGGCCUAGAAAUCUAAUAGAUGUUUAUGGAAAUUGAAGAAAUAAGUAUAAGAUUACAUACCUAUGAAUUUGUGGUGAAGUUCUCUUUUAAAAAUCGCUCAAUUUGGAGUUUGGAAGGAAAAGUUAUG